rnacentral:rRNA from 1 species
UACGUAGGAUGCAAGCGUUAAUCGGAAUUACUGGGCGUAAAGCGUGCGCAGGCGGCUUUGCAAGACAGAUGUGAAAUCCCCGGGCUCAACCUGGGAACUGCAUUUGUGACUGCAAGGCUAGAGUACGGCAGAGGGGGAUGGAAUUCCGCGUGUAGCAGUGAAAUGCGUAGAUAUGCGGAGGAACACCAAUGGCGAAGGCAAUCCCCUGGGCCUGUACUGACGCUCAUGCACGAAAGCGUGGGGAGCAAACAGG